rnacentral:lncRNA from 1 species
GCUAGCGUGAGUGUUGAUAAGUCUACAAAGUUCUUGAAAGAACCCAUAACCUGAUUUCCUACAAGGUAGAAAAUUGAAAUAUUAUGCUCGCUAGCCUCAAGUAUUCAAUUGCAUAUGGUUUUUAUAGUGCAAAAACCCUCAUUCAUAAGAAGAAGAAAUUAGAACCUAAAUAUGAAUAAAUGAAUAAAGAAAGAUGAAUAAACUAG